CGCACAUUUGGAAUUGCGUCAAGUGGUGCGUCAGUUUGACGGAGUAUAUCUAUAACUAUUUACAUUUAGUGCAUUUAUUAAAAUGAAAAAUACUUUAAAUUUAUUAAUUUUGUUUCUGGCAUUCCUUGUGUUAUUACAGGCAGCGUUUUUGUGUGCAUAAUACGAUCAAACAUUUUUUUGAGGUUAUAUGACGAGUGGGAUAUAACGCAAUGACAUAUUUUAUAACUUUAUUCGUUAUGUUUCUGGCUGUAGUUUCAAUGAUGCAAGCUACAUUCGUGGAUAACACCGACGAACCUUGUGUGCCCCCAGCAUGCAACAGUAGCUGUCGUCGCAUGGGAUGGGAGCUGGGGUACUGCGUGUCUGACAGGACCUGUGGCUGCACGGGAACUCCACCAAAAAAAUUAAUUUGUUAAUAUCUUCAGACGAUAUUAUCAACAAUGACGAUGAUGAUCUUUUGAAUGACGAUGAUAUAUUAUAUUAUUAAUAGCAUCAAUAAAUAAUAUUUUUAUUCAACAA